rnacentral:lncRNA from 1 species
UAUCCCCGGAGGCAUGGUCUGGAAGCAGGAGUCUUAAUGGAUUGAGCUAACACUUUGCUCUCCUAAUGUCUUCUCAGACCACUGGGAGGGGGCCGGUCCUCACAGCAGCAUCCUGUUACCUAAGCAACAGGCUACCCUGCCUGGCCCCUAGUCUUUGGGAAAAAAAACUCUGCUCUGUGAGCAUUCCAAAACAGGAAUGUGUCAGGGUGCCGAGCACCACAGAAAUAAAUGGCAGUAAGUCUGCUGCUGUUCUCAUGGAGCACAUGGCUCCAUGCCACACGUACCAGCCAGCGCUCUCCAGUUAGUGCCUAGGUGGCUGACGGUGGGGCUGCAUUCAGAGCUCAGAACAGGGGCCCCGCGUAGAGUAAAGGAAUUCAAGGAGAGCGUGACCCCCUUCUUUCCCUGAGUGAGAGUCCACCUAAGCAGCUGGCGAGGAAGGAGGCAUAGAGGCCCCAGGAGGCAAGCUUAAAGCCUAUUUUUUCCUAUCUGACGAAUCAGGGCCAAUAUGAUCUCAUCCACAUAUAAAAAAAGCUAAAAAAAAAAAAAACAAGCUGACGGAGAGGUUCAAAGCUAUUUAAUGAGCUGUGUGUGCUGAGAUUUGCAUGGCUGGGGCAGAAGUGAAAACAUCAGGAAACGGGGAAGGACUGUGCCUUGGAGGGCGAGCUGAUGGUAGGCAUACAGGCUGGCCAGAGAAGUCAGAUAUGAUGGGCUACAGAGUGUCAGCCAGCACUGUGCAGGAAAAUGUCAUGAAUCAGAAUAUGCAAACAGCCAAAUGAUGGACACAUCGGCUUAGAGCAUCGAGAGGCAGGUAGAGUGCAUAGCUGGAAGACCAGGGCAUCAGCCUACGUGAGAAGGGGAAGGGAAGAGAAGAGGCCCCUGGAGGUCACAAACACAGGAACCUGGAGUGGAACUCAUUCAUUUACCCACUCAACAGAGAUGUCUUGAACAGCUAACUGUGCCAGGUGCUGUGCUGGGACAGCAGUGAUAAAACAGUCUACAUAAUUGAGGUGCUUAUAAUCUAAUGAGGUUAAUGAAUAUGAAAUUAUUUUUGAAAAAUGUAAUAAUGACUAUUAUAAAGGACCUUUCAAACUGUACUGAGUGCUGUGGGAACCCAGAAGAAGGCUGGACUAAGUCUAUUUGGGGGGUGGGGUCAGGAGUGCUUAAAGAAAAUGUAACAUCUGAGCUGGAUUUUGAAGGAGUUUGACAGGCUGAAAAGGACAUUCCAAGCAGAGGAGAUAAGAGCAUGCACAAAGGCACAGAAAAGUCAACUCAGAGAGAACAACAGUGAGACAUCAGUAUCACUAAUGGAAACAUUAGAAAGGGGUAAGGGGAGGCUUUUUUUUUUUUUUUUUGGCUUAUUAGAUCACAGCUUUCGGUAGAUCAUAUUAUUUUUGAUUGAUUACUACAUACUAGGCAUUGCGUGAGGCAGUCUGGAUAAUAACUACUGCUAUCAUUACCCACCUACCAGAGAGGAGCAGCUAGUGUUACUGGGGACUUACUAUGUGUCAGGAUAGUGCCAAGGGCCUUCUGUAUAUUAACUCCUUUACUUCUCAGAAAUAUUGAGAAGCGGGGCCAGGCGCUGUGGCUCACACGUGUAAUCCUAGCACUUUGGGAGGCUGAGGUGGGCGAAUCACUUGAGGCCAGGAGUUUGACAGCAGCCUGGCCAUCAUGGCGAAACCCUGUUUCUACUAAAAAUUCAAAAAUUAACCAGGAGUGGUGGUGCACACCUGUAACCCCAGGUACUUGGGAGGCUGAGGCAGGAGAAUCACUUGAACCUUGGAGGCAGAAGUUGCAUAAUAAUAUUGAGAGGCAGGGAUUCUUACCCCCAUUUUAGAUGAGGAAGCUGGCUCAGGCAGAACAAGCUCCUCAAGGCUAGUGGGUGGCAGAACUGGGACUCAAACCCUAGUCCAUGCUCUUUUCAUGCUACCAUGUUUGUGUGGGUAUAGAUUUCGGAGCUGUCUGGAGAACAAAGGAAGACAUUAAAUAUUAGAGUGAUAGGGAGGCUCAAGAAUGGAGCUUAGCAAAAUUAAGUUUCUCUAAUUAGGUCAGAAGUACCCCUGGUGAUUUUUUCCAUUUUCAUACUUUUCUCCAUCAUCUGAUCU